rnacentral:rRNA from 1 species
GACGUAGGGCGCGAGCGUUGUCCGGAUUUAUUGGGCGUAAAGAGCUCGUAGGCGGCCUGUCGCGUCUGCUGUGAAAACUCGGGGCUUAACCCCGGGCCUGCAGUGGGUACGGGCAGACUAGAGUGCGGUAGGGGAGACUGGAAUUCCUGGUGUAGCGGUGAAAUGCGCAGAUAUCAGGAGGAACACCGGUGGCGAAGGCGGGUCUCUGGGCCGUAACUGACGCUGAGGAGUGAAAGCGUGGGGAGCGAACAGG